rnacentral:lncRNA from 1 species
UAUAAAUACAGAAUCUUGAGCCAUUGUUUAAGUACGUUUUUCAUUAUUCCCCAGUUUAUAGCCUCAAGCAUAUAAUUCUCUUUCUGACUUAAGUAUCGGAGGGAUGAUGAGAACAUACCUCGUUGUCUUUGUUUCAGGUAUCGGAAGAUUACGAUAGUGUUCAAUCCAAAUCAUCAAGCUCGGAAAAUCCACAGGUACGAUUUUUGAUAGCAUUAGUUUGAUAAAAAAAUUUAACAAGUGAUUUUUUGAAAAAACAAAAAAAAAAUUAAUAUGUGAUUAAAAAUUGGUAAAGAUUAUGAGAAAUAGAAUAUAUAUAUAUAUAUAUAUAUAUAUAUAUAUAUAUAUAUAUAUAUAUAUAUAUAUAUAUAUAUAUAUAUAUAGCCUCAUUCUUUUGGAAAAAUUCAUUUUUCAACAGUGUUUUGACAUCAUUUCAAUCACACAUUAUUCAAUAAAAUAAUAUUACACGUAAAUUCAAAAAUUUUCCUUAUUUUUUAACCACACAUUUUCCAUCAAUACACUAUUCAAAAAUUCAUUCUUCCCCAAAAAAUGGGGCUCAAACAAGGGCAUAUAUAUUUUUCGAGAAUUUAUAAUUGAAAAUGAGAGUGAAAGAGAAAUGAUUCUCAAGAAUCAAAUCAAGCAAGGGCUUAGAUGGCACAAUAAAGCCACAGAUGCAAACACCAAUUUCUAUUACUUCCAGUGUGAUUUUAAGUAGCUUUUGGACCAGCCAAACCCAUUCAAACAGGCCCAAAAUGCAAUAGUCUCAUAAUGUGGCUUUGAUUCAACAAAUAUAAAAUACUCACAAUAUCAAUAUAAAUAAUUGAUAAAAGCGCUAUGUCACCAUCCUCAGUUCAAUACUAGGAAAAUAUUCUAUAUAGAGACUACAUUUUAAUUAUUUUGCUUAUACCAUAUUUACAUUUGUGUUAUCUCGUUUACUCAAACUUGUCAACAUGAACUUUUGACACACUUGUAAAUUUGUUUAGGCUUUCUCUAUAGUGCAGAUUUUUAUUUGAUUCAAUGAAUUUGAACACCCCACCCCAGUUUGUUAGUCUAUAUGACACUUUUUCUUGGGAUAUACUUAGAACCUGAUGAAGCAGUAGUCACAACUUUGCUUUACUUGAUAUAACUCUAAUAUCUAAUUCAUCUUAGGGUUCGUUUGAUUGCAAAUGUGAAAUUUGGGUGGAAAGAAAACGAAUUUCAAGAAAUUGAAUUGAUGAGAAAUUGUUUUAUUGAGAAUUGUAAAUUAUUGUGUUUAAUUGGUAUAAUUUUCCACAUGGAAAAUGUUUAAAUUAAAGUGUUUUUUUAUGUCCGUUUGGCUUUGUUUUACAUUAAAAUUGUCAAUUAAAGGGAUAAAAUUUACUGGUAUUGAGAAUGAAAUUUGUUUCUAUUGCCAAAACAAAAAAAAAUUAAAAAAUCAAAAAAAUCAUCUAUUUUUGAAUGUUCGUUUGGCUUUGUUUUACAUGAAAAUUGUCAAUUAAAAAGAAAUAUUUUUUUUUACAAUAAAUCUUAGAAUUUGUUUUCACUGCAAAAAGAAAAAAAAAGGUGCUACAGUGAACCGGGAACAAAACCAAGAAAACUUCAAUUCCCAAGAAAAAUUGGAAAAUGUAAUUCCAUGAAAAAAAAUGGUAUCAAACACCCUUAAAACUCAAAGUUGGAAUUGAUUUUUCACUUUCCCUAGAAAAUUUUGGCCUAUCAAACGGACCCUUACUGUAAAAGUAAAUUUGGUAGGUUGAAUUGAACAUAAUCAAAUAUGUAUAAUGUUUUCUCCUGCAUACUAAACAUGUCACGAAACUAAUAAUUCUAGUUGAUGUACUCAAGGAAAGAUGGUCACUAGUUGUCUAUAUGCAUUUCAUUUGAGCACUCAUGGAGGGGGUUAAAAGGGAUGGAUUUCUGUUCACUGGACCAUACUCACAUGUGAACAGCAAGUUAGAUUUGUUGAGUCAUGUCUCAAUUCGUGGCUCAAAUUUAUACCAAUCCUCUUUUGAUUUUCACAUGGAGCUAUUCUAUUGGCCAGUAUUACUUCAUAGGGUGGGUUCAGCUGACUCAUCAUUCCCUUUCAAUUUCAUGCUAGAGUAAUAUGAUUCAUGAAUUAAUGGAUUCAAGUGCAGCCACGUCCUGCAGUUCAAAGUCCUCGUACACACACACACACACACACACACACACAUAUGUGUGUGUGUGUGUAGCCACGUCCUGCAGUUCAAAGUCCUCGUAUAUAUGUGUGUGUGUGAAAUUACAAAAAGGACUUUUCCAGGGCUGUUGUACUAAUGUUCCAGCCAUUUAUUUACUUGACGGUGACCACAUGCAGCAUAUCCUCGAGCCUGGUUCAGAAGGAUCAAGUUUUUUACAUGUAAUUUUUUUGUAUAAUACUAAUCUUUGAGCCUCGAAAAGAAGAUCAUAAAAAUUCCAUUUCCUUUGUGCACAGUUAGAAGUCUAAUUGUCCACCCGGCGAUGACUAACCUGGAGAAAAAAGGUCAAUGAUUCUUAAAAUUGUUCCCAUAUUAGGAGAAGCCAAACCUUGCACACAAGCAGGGACACUCUUAAAAGCCAGUAACUGUCAAUGUUGAUGCCAUUGCAAUAUGACAACUUGGAUGCUCUCGAACCUGAACGUUGAUGUUUUUGAAAGGAAUCAGUAGUCUCCGGUCCCACUCAAGCCCUACCAAGACUUCUGCCUACCACAAAAUUAUCAAACUACUUUUCAUGCUCACUAUUAUACUGCCACGUGUCGUCCCAUGAAUUCAGCCUGCAAUAUGAACCCCUCAAGUCCAGUGACCGGCCUCAAAAUGUUAUAGUGUGCUUCAAUAGGAAAACAGAGUAACCAAAAAGAAAUGUUAAAGGAAAAGAGUAGAGGAGUACAUGGUGGCAACACCAGCAGCCAUUGGGCCCGGAUUUGUGACACUUGCCAAUCAGCAGUCUGCACCAUGUAUUGCAGGGCUGACUCGGCGUACCUCUGCACUGGCUGCGACUCUCGCAUCCACAGAACCAGUCUUGAGGCCUCGCGCCAUCAGCGCAUGUGGGUGUGUGAGGCCUGUGAACGUGCUCCAGCAGCCUUCCUAAGUAAGGCUGAUGCUGCGUCCCUAUGUACAACCUGUGACUCGGACAUCCACUCAGCCAACCCUUUGGCACGGCGCCAUCAACGUGCCCCAAUUUUGCCGAUUCCCGGAAUGCUCUAUGGUACUCCGUCAGCCACUUACCCCAGUGGAUUAGUAAUGGGGCCUACUGGGGUUGCAGCCAAGAUUGAGUUCUUGAUUCAAGACGAAGAUCAAACUAUACAUGAAGAAGAAGAUGAAGACGAGGCAGCUUCAUGGCUUUUGUUCAACCAUGUUAAGAAUAUUUGCAACCAAAGUAACAACAUUGGACGGUUCUUUGGCGGAGAGGUUGACGAGUAUUUGGACCUUGACGAGUAUAAUUCAUAUCAGGACAACCAGUUCAGUAAUCAGGACAACAAUCAACUGCAACCUUACGAUGUUUCUCAAAAGAGCUAUGGCAGUGACAAUGUUGUGCCAAUCCAAAAGAGUAAGGAUCAGAUUUACAACCAUAGUUUUCAGUUGGGAAGGGAGUACGAGGCCUCGAAAAAUGUUUAUGAUAAUCCCGCUUCAAUUUCUCACACUGUAAGUUCUUCUUCACCUAGUGCAUACUUCAUACGUAGUAUUAAAGAAGACAAGACAAUAUAAUAAACUAGAUUUAGUUUCUGCGUGUCUUAGUGCUAUCCAGUCCUAUCCAUUCGUCAUUGUUUUCUUCAAUUACUCAGUGCAAGUUUUUUCAGCUAAAUGCACAAGUUUUUUCUUGGUGAUGAAAUCAGGUAUCAUUUUCAUCUUUAGAUGUUGGAGUUGUUCCAGAAUCCACAACUAGUGAGGUUUCGGUCUCCCACCCAAGACCUCCAAAGGGGACCAUUGAUCUCUUCUCUAGCCCUCCUAUCCCAAUGCCAACACAACUUUCUCCAACGGACAGAGAAGCCAGAGUGUUAAGGUACAGAGAGAAGAAGAAGGCGAGGAAGUUUGAGAAGACCAUCAGGUAUGCAUCAAGGAAGGCCUAUGCAGAAACCAGACCUAGGAUCAAAGGUCGAUUUGCAAAAAGAACAGAUGUAAGAGCCAACCAGAUGUUCUCAUCAACGCUAAUAGAAGAAGGUGGCUAUGGAAUCGUCCCAUCAUUCUGAUCUGAUCCCAGCAAGAAAAGGUUUAAGAGAAUUAAAAAACGAAUCAUCUCAAAUUUGUACCAAUCAUUUCAAAAGCCAUUACCAAUGAUUCUCUUAGUAAUUCCUGUUUAUAAUUUAGGUAUCAUCUUGUUCAAAUCUCUGCCUUGUUGUAAAUCCAUGUACUUGUGCACUUACACCGGUACCAAUCCUUUGUUUACAUUGUUUAAUGAACACAUGCAUAUAUGUAAAUUAUCGAUCCUUUUAGCCUAACUUCAAAUUUCGUUAA